rnacentral:tRNA from 1 species
GGUGUUGUGGCUCAGCUGGAGAGCACUCAUCUAGCAUGUGGGAGACACUGGGUUCAAUCCUCAGCACCA